AUUGAACGCUGGCGGCAGGCCUAACACAUGCAAGUCGAACGAGUGGCGGACGGGUGAGUAAUGUCUGGGAAACUGCCCGAUGGAGGGGGAUAACUACUGGAAACGGUAGCUAAUACCGCAUACUAUCGGAUGAACCCAUAUGGGAUUAGCUAGUAGGUGGGGUAACGGCUCACCUAGGCGACGAUCCCUAGCUGGUCUGAGAGGAUGACCAGCCACACUGGAAAUGAGGCACGGCCCAGACCCCGACGGGUGGACGCAGUGGGGAAUAUUGCCCAAUGGGGGCAAGCCUGAUGCCGCCAUGCCGCGUGGAUGAAGAAGGCCUUCGGGUUGUAAAGUACUUUCAGCGGGGAGGCGUUACUCGCAGAAGAAGCACCGGCUAACUCCGUGCCAGCAGCCGCGGUAAUUC
rnacentral:rRNA from 1 species